rnacentral:rRNA from 1 species
GACGAACGCUGGCGGCGUGCUUAACACAUGCAAGUCGAACGGAAAGGCCCUGCUUUUGUGGGGUGCUCGAGUGGCGAACGGGUGAGUAACACGUGAGUAACCUGCCCUUGACUUUGGGAUAACUUCAGGAAACUGGGGCUAAUACCGGAUAGGAGCUCCUGCUGCAUGGUGGGGGUUGGAAAGUUUCGGCGGUUGGGGAUGGACUCGCGGCUUAUCAGCUUGUUGGUGGGGUAGUGGCUUACCAAGGCUUUGACGGGUAGCCGGCCUGAGAGGGUGACCGGCCACAUUGGGACUGAGAUACGGCCCAGACUCCUACGGGGGGCAGCAGUGGGGAAUAUUGCACAAUGGGCGGAAGCCUGAUGCAGCAACGCCGCGUGCGGGAUGACGGCCUUCGGGUUGUAAACCGCUUUCGCCUGUGACAAAGCGUGAGUGACGGUAAUGGGUAAAGAAGCACCGGCUAACUACGUG